UUUAGGGUUAUGGACGGUACGGGGUGGAGGAAAGUCCGGGCUCCUUAGGGCAGGGUGCCAGAUAACGUCUGGGCGGCGCGAGCCGACGGAAAGUGCCACAGAAAACAUACCGCCAGCGGUUUGGCCUCAGGUCAUCCGCGGGUAAGGGUGAAAAGGUGCGGUAAGAGCGCACCGCGUUCGCGGUAACGCGAAUGGCAGGGUAAACCCCACCCGGAGCAAGACCAAAUAGGGAUCCUUUGGCGCGGCCCGCGUCGGAUCCGGGUAGGUCGCUUGAAGCGCGCGGUGACGGGCGCUCCAGAUGAAUGGUUGUCCUCGACAGAACCCGGCUUACAGGCCGACUCCAUUU
rnacentral:RNase_P_RNA from 1 species